UGGGGAAUAUUGCACAAUGGGCGCAAGCCUGAUGCAGCCAUGCCGCGUGUAUGAAGAAGGCCUUCGGGUUGUAAAGUACUUUCAGUCGGGAGGAAGGUGGUAAGGUUAAUAACCUUAUCAAUUGACGUUACCGACAGAAGAAGCACCGGCUAACUCCGUGCCAGCAGCCGCGGUAAUACGGAGGGUGCAAGCGUUAAUCGGAAUUACUGGGCGUAAAGCGCACGCAGGCGGUUGAUUGAGUCAGAUGUGAAAUCCCCGGGCUUAACCCGGGAAUUGCAUCUGAUACUGGUCAGCUAGAGUCUUGUAGAGGGGUGUAGAAUUCCAUGUGUAGCGGUGAAAUGCGUAGAGAUGUGGAGGAAUACCGGUGGCGAAGGCGGCCCCCUGGACAAAGACUGACGCUCAGGUGCGAAAGCGUGGGGAGCAAACAGG
rnacentral:rRNA from 1 species